rnacentral:lncRNA from 1 species
ACCUGUGCAGACAGCUCAUAGGGCAACCGGCGAUUGCCACCAACCUUGAGGACUUGGGUUCGAUUCCCUGGGAACCACGUGGAGCUGGGAGUGCGGACAUACAUGUCAAGUGAGUGUUCCACUACCCAGCAAAAUCUCCAGCCCCCGCUACCUGGAAAUUAUCAAUGACUGCACGUGCCCAGCUCUUCUGGACCCUCUGAUGUUCUGUCACAUGGGAGCAAAUGGAGAGCUGGGACAUCCUUUGACCUCAGCCCUCAAAGGAUAAUUAACUUCUUGCUCAAUCCCUCAGCAUUUGACCAAAAUACCAAGAUAAAAAUGUAGGCCCGUGUUAGUACAAAAGGUCCUGCAUUCAACUGUCCUCCUUAUAUUGCCCAAGAAGUCUUGUGGAAUUCCAAGAAGAAUUCAAGGGGCCAGACCUGGAAUAUGCAUCAAUGAGAAUAAGACACUGACGAAGCUAACGACACUAACGGGGAAUGAGGAUAAUCGACUCCUGUCCUUUGUUUUACUCUUUAACCUAGUAAUAAAUCCCUUUAAAGGCCCGUGGUAUUCGGAGCAUCCCGUGUGUGAAGUGCUCUCGCAGUUGUGGCCGGAAUGUGAGACCUAUAGGCUAAAGAUGUCAGGCUGAAUCUCAGGCAAGGGGUGUGCUGAAAGGAUCGGAGGAAGGGCGAGGGGAGCCCAGCCGAGAUAAUGAGGGCCAGCAAGAUGGAUUAGUGAAUAAAGGUGUUUGGGUUUUU